AGCAGCCGCGGUAAGACAGAGGGUGCAAACGUUGUUCGGAAUUACUGGGCGUAAAGCGUGCGCAGCGGUUCGGAGAGAAAGAUGUGAAAUCCCAGAGCUUAACUUUGGAACUGCAUUUUUAACUACCGGGCUAGAGUGUGUCAGAGGGAGGUGGAAUUCCGCGUGUAGCAGUGAAUGCGUAGAGAUGCGGAGGAACACCGAUGGCCGAAGGCAGCCUCCUGGGAUAACACUGACGCUCAUGCACGAAAGCGUGGGGAGCAAACAGGAUUAGAACCCUGGUAGUCACGCCCUAACGAUGUCACUAGCUGUUGGGGCUUCGGGCCUUGGUAGCGCAGCUAACGCGUGGAAGUUGACCGCCUGGGAGGUACGGUCGCAAGAUUAAACUCCAAAGGAAUUGACGGGAACCCGCACAAGCGGGUGGAUGAUGUGAUAUUCGAUGCAACGCGAAAAACCUACCUAACCUUGACAUGUCUGGAAUCCGAAGAGAUUUGGGAGUGCUCGCAAGAGAACCCGGAACACAGGUGCUGCAUGGCUGUCGUCAGCUCGUGUCGUGAGAUGUUGGGUUAAGUCCCGCAACGAGCGCAACCCUUGUCAUUAGUUGCUACGAAAGGGCACUCUAAUGAGACUGCCGGUGACAAACCGGAGGAAGGUGGGGAUGACGUCAAGUCCUCAUGGCCCUUAUGGGUAGGGCUUCACACGUCAUACAAUGGUCGGGACAGAGGGCUGCCAACCCGCGAGGGGGAGCCAAUCCCAGAAACCCGAUCGUAGUCCGGAUCGCAGUCUGCAACUCGACUGCGUGAAGUCGGAAUCGCUAGUAAUCGCGGAUCAGCAUGUCGCGGUGAAUACGUUCCCGGGUCUUGUACACACCGCCCGUCACACCAUGGGAGUGGGUUUUACCAGAAGUAGUUAGCCUAACCGCAAGGAGGGCGAUUACCACGGUAGGAUUCAUGACUGGGGUGAAGUCGUAACAAGGUAGCCGUAUCGGAAGGUGCGGCUGGAUCACCUCCUU
rnacentral:rRNA from 1 species